rnacentral:lncRNA from 1 species
UCUCAAUCUGCCUGGAUCAGGGCCUACAACUAAGGUAGAGUAGCCUGGUGAGGAUUCGGGGUGCCACUCACUGGUGAAACACUUGCACAUGACAUGUGACACUUUCUCCUCAGUGUGCAAAAAUCAAUCAUCAAUCAGUCCCUCAGCCAUUGAGGGUGUGGAGUGUGUGUCAGGUGGUAAGAAGAUGAGGCUGUUGUGUGUGAAGACAUCCCUUGCCCCUAUUCUCCAUAGAACAUUGCCCCCCACCCCCUCACAGCACUUUUCGGUCUGAGCUAAGAAAAUUUGAAUAGUAGAUUAGUCUUCUGGCUUUUCCCCUUUUUCUGGUGUCGAGUUUUAAAAAUUCUCACUUGUAUUUUGCCAUAUCUUUCCCAGCCCCACCCCUUGUUGAGGGAGGAGGUAAGUCUUCAUUUGGAAUUCUGAAGAGCAAGCUGCCAAAUAGCUUCUGGAAGGUUGAAGUGCAGCGGGUCUGAAUGCUGCUUUUUAUGGGGUGUUAAGUUUAGUCAGGCUCUCUGCGGGUAGCUAACCACUGGUAAAUGUUAAAGAGAGAGCCCUCCAAGAACCGCUGUUUAAAAGUCACUUGUGGUAGGCAAUACUAAUGCAGCAGGAAUAAAGGACACUAGCAUCUUUGAAAAGUCCUGCUACCAAGACUGAACGAUCUGUCUUCUCAUCUCUCUCCUCACAGCCUCAGACCAUUCACAAGAUAUGACUAGCAACAGGAAGUUCUGUGGGUAACAUAGGAGAUGCAUCCAUAGAAGCAUGCAACAUUUCAUAUUGAGAUAACGCCACACAUAUAGCUUUUUCAACCUUCUUGUUUGAAUUAUGAUCAUCCUUUCACAAAAUCAAGUAAAUUAUACAUUAUUUUAAGGCUGCAUAGUUUUUAUUUAUGCAGUUUUAUUUGUUCAAGCAGUUUACAUUUUUCCCAACUAUUUUUGGUAUUUCCUGGUAAUUAAUAGCUGGAGUACUGGUCUUUUGUUUGUUUGUUUUACAUGUGUGUGUAUAUAGGCCAGAGGAGAGCCUGUAUAUUAUCUUCAGAAAUGUCUUUUGAGAUAGGAUUUUUCAAUUGACCUGACUGGCCAACUGUCGCGUCUGCUCUCGACCAGCAAGAACGACACGACCACCAGUCCUUCUAACAACAGUUUAUUCAGUCCUGAUUCUUCUUGUUUAUAUCUCCCCCGAACCCUGGGCCUCUCAUUCCUUUUAUACUCUCAUCCACGCACAGCAGGCCACGCCGCCUCACCAGGCACGCAGCUUCAGUUAAGCAGGGCAGCAGGGGCAUAUCUCCAUCAAACUGGAUUCACCGGUAUCCUGGUGCACCUGCGCAGCUCUCAAGAUGUUUGUGGCUUAUAUGAGGAAGUCAGGUGCAAGUCAUACGACUUAGCUACAGUCCCUGGCGCCUUUGGGACUGCCGCCACACCCGCUCCUAACAGCCAACAAGAUCCAGGAUCCUCCUGCCUCUGUUGCCCCUGUUCUGGGACAAUGAGUGCAUACUCCCAUGGGUUUGAGGGAUCAAAAUUAGUCUUCACACUUGUGAGGCAAGCUCUCUCCUGAGUCUUCUUCCUGCUCCCCAUAGCACGUUUUUAAUGGCUGCAUUAUUAAUUAUUCAAAUAAUUUUUAGCACUUUUCAUUUUUCCCAGCUAUUUUUGCUAUUUCCUGGUAAUUAAUAGCUGGAGUAUUGGUCACUGUACUCUCAGUGGUCACAUAGUCAACAAAUGUUCUUUGAGUGUUGUAUACUGGGCUAGAUGUGAUAGUAGUUACUCAUUCCGGCAAAUCCAAAUUCUAUUAUGACAGAAGAUCCACAAAGCAACUAUAUAAAUAAAGGAACAAGCAUUGUUGGGUUUUGAUAAGUGUGCUAAGUAGGAAAGAUGACAAGGUAAAAAGUUAAAACAUGAACUAUAGGGAUAGGUAGGAAUAACAUUUGUAAGAAGAGAUGUUCAGGAUCAUGCUCAGUGAAGAGGGCAGGAGAGAGCCAUCCAGGGGAGAGUCAGAAGACAAGAAUUCCAACUGGGAGAACCGGCAAAGGCAAAGGCGUGCGUGUGUGUGUGUGUAUGUGUGUGUGUGUGUGAGAGAGAGAGAGAGAGAGAGAGAGAGAGAGAGAGAGAGAGAUGCCUAGGGUCAGUUGAAGCAGACAGGAUGAGGGACGUUACUGGGCGAUGACAGAAGGAAUAAGAUAAUUUGUGUGCUUGGUUCCUGGGAGCAGAAAAGCUAUGGAAGAUAUUAUCCAGAAGAACAGCAUGUUUAAAUAGAACCCUGGCCUGGGAAGGCAAGGCAAACUUGGACGGAGGGACAGUAGAUUUUACUUUUAAUUGAAGGUUUUAAAAUAUAUUUGAUAAUAUUUUUCUUCUCUUCCAAUUCCUCCCAGAUUCCCUCAAAUUCCCUACCCACCUAACUUCAUACUCUCUCUUUAACAAAAGGCCAAUGCCUCCAAGAAAAUUAAAACAGAAACCCAAUAAG